rnacentral:rRNA from 1 species
UAUGACCAUACCACUCUGAAUGCGCUCAAUCUUGUCUGAUCUCAGAAGCAAAGCAGGGUUAGUCCUGGUUAGUACUUGGAGGGAAAAAGGCUGGUAAGCAUCAUUU